AGGAGAGGAGGCAGGGAGGGCUUGUAGAGAUGGAGUGGCACCUUCUAGGUCUGGAGGCUCAAAGGUCACUGAGAGGCAGGCCUGGUAGCCUGGGGCUUUCCAGGGACUGAAGACCUCUGGUCUAGGGGACUGUGACCCGAUUAAGACUUGGAAAAUACAGCCUGGCGAUCUUACCCCAUCUUAGGAUAGCGGCUGGGCCUCGCAGGGUGGGAAAAGGGGUGCAGCAGUGAGCCCCGCGGGGGGGCCGAUGGUGCAGGGCCAAGGGUGGGCUGGCCCUGGCCAGCAGCCUGGCCCACCUUCCGGGGUGCUCGCACCCCAGCCUCCCCACCAGCUCCUGCCCCCAGGGACUGGUCAAGGGCACCUGCCCCUGGCCUGUUCGAGGGUGAGGAGGGCAGGUCCCUGGCCCCCUCCUGACCAGAGGCCCUGUAGCCCCGCUGCGCCUGGGGACACGGGAGGCCCACUGCCUCUGAAUUCCAGGCUGACGAUCAGCGCAUUCCGAGGCCUGAGUGUAUCCCACAAAAUACUGGGGGUCUACUGACACUCGGAAAUGACUCAUUUUCCGUCUGAAAUUCAGAUGUCGCUGGUCACUGUUGUCAUGUCUUUUGUUUUUCUUAGUGCCAGUGUGAAGUCCCCCUCUCUCCUUUCCUCUGCUCAGGCCUACUCUUCUAGGAGGCUCCCUAAGGACACCUCCCGUCCUGGAGGCUCCGGCCUCCCGCAGUCCCAGGGCAGAGGUAAGAAACAACCGCUGCGACUUGAUUACACUGUUCUGCAGCUUGAUCCUCUUGGAUUUUUUGAACGAGGAAACAGCAUCAGAGAGGCAGGUAACUUAUGCAGCGUCACACAGCGGAGCUCCACAGCCUAGGACUGAACCCGAGUUGUCCGCCAUUUCCAAAAGGCGGGCUUUAAAACUCGCCCAGUUCUCCCCUGGGACUGAGAAGGGACAGACAGGGGACACUGUGCCACAAGGUGGCGGUGCUGUCCUGGAGGGUCCCUCCCAGGCCCAGGUGUCCUGUCUGCCCUCUGACCCUGCCAUCUGUCCUUCCCUGAUCAGGCCCAUCCUGAGACCUGCGGGGCAGGCUGUGACUCCCUGGCCAGUCUCUCAGCAGUCCUCGGCUCCCAGGAGCCAUGUCGGCACCUGCAGCUCUGGUGGGCCGCUCCGCAGAGAUGCCCGGGUGAAGCUGCCCUCACGAGGACACGAGGGAAAUCAAAUCCAUUUUUCCUUCCGAGUUUCCGAGAGGUGGGGAGGCGCGCUGUGUGGGGUGGAUUGGCCCUGGUGACCAGGAGAUCACACAUGGCAUCAGACAGGAGGCCCAGGGAGGGCCAGGCAGUGCAGGGCUGGUUCCAGAGGCUUCCAGGAGGGGCCAUGGCUAGGCUGCGCCUAGGAAGGUGCAGGGCUGGGGCGUGGAGGGGCGGAACAGCUCCUGCAAAGGCCCUGAGGCAGGGCUGAGCCAGUGUGGCCGAGCAGAGGAGCAG
rnacentral:lncRNA from 1 species